rnacentral:rRNA from 1 species
UUUGGAAGUCUUGUAUUGGGAUUAAGCUGUCUCUUCCUUAUUCUAUUGAAAUUACUAAAUAGGUGAAAAGGCCUAUAAAUAGAGUUUUUAUAAGGAUACAAGAAGACAUUAUAAACUCUUUUUUUUUAAACUACCUGAGGGAUAACAGCAUAAUCCAAUUUUUGGGUUUGUGACCUCGAUGUUGGACUAGGAAACUUAUACUCUAGCACUUGAUAGAUGGCCUAACGGGGUUGGGGCCAA